rnacentral:rRNA from 1 species
GAUGAACGCUGGCGGCGUGCCUAAUACAUGCAAGUCGAGCGAACAGACGAGGAGCUUGCUCCUCUGACGUUAGCGGCGGACGGGUGAGUAACACGUGGAUAACCUACCUAUAAGACUGGGAUAACUUCGGGAAACCGGAGCUAAUACCGGAUAAUAUAUUGAACCGCAUGGUUCAAUAGUGAAAGACGGUUUUGCUGUCACUUAUAGAUGGAUCCGCGCCGCAUUAGCUAGUUGGUAAGGUAACGGCUUACCAAGGCAACGAUGCGUAGCCGACCUGAGAGGGGGGUCGGCCACACGGGAGCUGAGACAGCGUCCAGACUCCUACGGGAGGCAGCAGUAGGGAAUCGUCCGCAAUAGGCGGAAGCUUGACGGAGCAACGCCGCGUGAGUGGUGAAGGUCCUCGGAUCGUAAAACUCUGUUAUUGGGGAAGAACAAAUGUGUAAGUAACUAAGCACGUCUUGACGGUACCUAAUCAGAAAGCCACGGCUAACUACGUG